rnacentral:rRNA from 1 species
CGGACGGGUGAGUAACACGUGGGCAACCUACCUUAUAGUUUGGGGAUAACUCCGGGAAACCGGGGCUAAUACCGAAUAAUCUAUUUCACUUCAUGGUGAAUACUGAAAGACGGUUUCGGCUGUCGCUAUAAGAUGGGCCCGCGGCGCAUUAGCUAGUUGGUGAGGUAACGGCUCACCAAGGCGACGAUGCGUAGCCGACCUGAGAGGGUGAUCGGCCACACUGGGACUGAGACACGGCCCAG